ACGGGAGGCAGCAGUGAGGAAUAUUGGUCAAUGGGCGAGAGCUUGAACCAGCCAAGUAGCGUGUAGGACGACUGCCCUAUGGGUUGUAAACUACUUUUGUUCGAGAAUAAAGUCAGGUACGUGUACCUGUUUGUAUGUACCGUUCGAAUAAGCAUCGGCUAAUUCCGUGCCAGCAGCCGCGGUAAUACGGAAGAUGCGAGCGUUAUCCGGAUUUAUUGGGUUUAAAGGGAGCGUAGGCGGUCCUUUAAGUCAGCGGUCAAAUGUCGGGGCCCAACCCCGGCCUGCCGUUGAUACUGGAGGACUUGAAUACACACAAGGAAGGUGGAAUUCGUCGUGUAGCGGUGAAAUGCUUAGAUAUGACGAAGAACUCCGAUUGCGAAGGCAGCCUUCUGGAGUGCGAUUGACGCUGAGGCUCGAAAGCGCGGGUAUCAAACAGGAUUAGAUACCCUGGUA
rnacentral:rRNA from 1 species